UAGGGAAUCUUCGGCAAUGGACGAAAGUCUGACCGAGCAACGCCGCGUGAGUGAAGAAGGUUUUCGGAUCGUAAAACUCUGUUGUUAGAGAAGAACAAGGACGUUAGUAACUGAACGUCCCCUGACGGUAUCUAACCAGAAAGCCACGGCUAACUCCGUGCCAGCAGCCGCGGUAAUACGGAGGGUGCAAGCGUUAAUCGGAAUUACUGGGCGUAAAGCGCACGCAGGCGGUUUGUUAAGUCAGAUGUGAAAUCCCCGGGCUCAACCUGGGAACUGCAUCUGAUACUGGCAAGCUUGAGUCUCGUAGAGGGGGGUAGAAUUCCAGGUGUAGCGGUGAAAUGCGUAGAGAUCUGGAGGAAUACCGGUGGCGAAGGCGGCCCCCUGGACGAAGACUGACGCUCAGGUGCGAAAGCGUGGGGAGCAAACAGG
rnacentral:rRNA from 1 species